AACGUAGGAGACAAACGUUAUCCGGAGUUACUGGGCGUAAAGGGCGCGCAGGCGGCCAUUCAAGUCAGGCGUGAAAGCCCCGGGCUCAACCUGGGAACUGCGUCCGAUACUGGAUGGCUUGAAUCCGGGAGAGGGAUGCAGAAUUCCAGGUGUAGCGGUGAAAUGCGUAGAUAUCUGGAGGAAUACCGGUGGCGAAGGCGGCAUCCUGGACCGGCAUUGACGCUGAGGAGCGAAAGCCAGGGGAGCAAACGGG
rnacentral:rRNA from 1 species